UACGUACAUCCGAGGCGACUGCGCAUGCUCUGCGGUCCAGUCGCUCGGCCACUCCCUGCACCCCUGUAGAGAGAGAGAGAGAGAUCCCUGGCGCCCUCGGGACGUCCCCGGGUUCGAGCUGUGCAGCUAGGCUGCCGAGGGGUAAGAGAAUGGCCCACUCCGGGGUCUCGAGCUCGAACCCAGCUCCGCGCCGCCUCCUCUCCCCCCUCAGUCACUAGUUGCAGGAAUAAUGAACUGGAGGGAUUCCAUGUGAACUGGAAUGACCUCCGGGAAGUGAUGCAGAGCGAAAGGAGCAGAACCAGGAGAACAUUGUACACAGAGACGGAUACACUGUGGCACAAUCGAAUGUAAUGGACUUCUCUACUAACAGCAAUGCAAUGAUCCAGGACAAUUUGGAGGGACUUAUGAGAAAAUGGAGUUCCAUGGAGACUGGAACAACCUCCAGGAAGUGAUGCAGAGCGAGAGGAGCAGAACCAGGAGAACAUUGUACACAGAGACUAAUACACUAUGGUAUAAUCGAAUGUAAUGGACUUCUCCAUUGGUGGUGGUGUAAUGUCCCUGAACAAUUUGCAGGGAUCUAGGAGAAAAAAACACUAUUCAUAAGCAAAGGAUAAACUAUGUGAGUAGAAACACUGAGGAAAAGCAACUGCCUGAAUACAGCGGUUGAGGGGACAUGACAGAGGAGAGACUCUAAAUGAACACUCUAAUGCAAAUAUUAUCAACAUAGCAAUGGGUUCAAAUCAAGAAAACAUGUAAUGCCCAGUGGAUUUACGCGUCAGCUAUGGGGGGGGGGGGGAGGAAAAGAAAAUGAUCUAUGUCCUUAAUGAAUAAUGCUUGGAAAUGAUCAAAUAAAAUAUAUAUAUAUAUAUAAAAGAAUGUUAUCCACAUCCAGAGGAAGAACUGUGGGAGCAGAAAUGCUUUAGAAAAACUUGGCUGUUCUGAUCAAUCCGAUGAUCCAAGACAACUCCAAAGGACUCGGGAUGAUCCACCUCCAGAGAAAGAGCUGAUGAACACUGCCCACAAGUUGAAGUAUCAUUUUCUCACUUUCUUGAUUUUUCUUGCUUCUUUUCUUAUGGGUAAUAUGGAAAUUAUGAUUUCACCUGAUCUUAAUGAGUGGGAGGAGGGAGAGAAUUUGGACAUCAAAACUCAAAAAGAAGGAAAGAAUGCUAAAAAUAAACCAUUAAGUUAUAAGUAAAUAACUUACAAAUUAAAAAAUUAAGACUCCAGA